rnacentral:rRNA from 1 species
AACGAACGCUGGCGGCGUGGAUUAGGCAUGCAAGUCGAACGCGAAAGAGGGAGCAAUCCCUCGAGUAGAGUGGCGAACGGGUGAGUAACGCGUGAAGAACCUGCCUUCAACAGGGGGAUAACACUCCCAACGGGGUGCUAAUACCGCAUGAGACCACGGGGUCGCAUGGCCCUGAGGUCAAAGGUGGCCUCUAUUUAUAAGCUACCGGUUGAAGAUGGCUUCGCGUCCCAUUAGCAGUUGGCGGUGUAAAAGACCACCAAGGCGACGAUGGGUAGCUGGUCUGAGAGGAUGGUCAGCCACACUGGGACUGAGAUACGGCCCAGACUCCUACGGGAGGCAGCAGUGAGGAAUCUUGCGCAAUGGGCGAAAGCCUGACGCAGCAACGCCGCGUGGAUGAUGAAGGCC